UGAACAUCAGAACUCUUUAAGAAAUGACAAAAAAGGGGGGUAAGAUAACCCCAGAGAACUGAAAGAGGAUCCUUUGAAAAAUCCACAGGAGCAUGUUUCAUAGCUAAUGGAUAUCUACAAUCAAAAGACUUGUGAUUUAAGUAUCAAGAUAAACAACUAUCACAACAUUUAAAACACUCACUAUAUUUCCUUUCCAGCUUUUUAACUAUAAAAUCAAUGGCAUGUUAAUGACUCAAGCAUUAGCUUGCUCACUAGGAAUUCCAGAACUUCUAUUUUUGAAGCAUAAAUUCCUAAGUUGCUCAAUUUACCCAGUUUGUCAGAACAAUUGCCAUUAGUAAAUAUAAAUAUUUAAUGAAAAUGAAAACUGUCAUAAGCCGCUUCUCUUAAGCAUCUAAUGACUUACUGGAAGAAAUAAAAAAUAUUAGUGAAUUAUGUCAUUUACUAGUUUCCAUCAUAUAGCAAUCACCUGCAGAUGUAUUUGCUUAUUGUACCUUGCUGUGUUUUGGAGUGGGUUUUUGUUGUAAUAUAUUUAUUGGGUUGUGGGUUUUUGCUUGCUUAUUGGGUAACAAAGAAGUAUCAAUGAUAUACAGGGUGUUUCCUAGAUAUUAACCACGUGCAAAAUUUUUUUAAGUUUUCUCAAAACCUUCAUUGUGCUAUUUGUUCCUGCCAGAAUCCACUGUAAAUAAAAUAAUUAAAUAUGUGUAUGUAAGUGUAAAAUUACAGUUAAAUUACAUUUACCCUACAUUUUGUGGCUUGAAAAAUGCCCUCACAUAUUUUAUUUCAUUGAUCUUCAAUGGAGGAUAUCAUUAUUUCCAGUUUACAGAUGAAUAAAAAGGACUGUUUGACCAAGUGCCAGAACCAAGACUCCACCUAAGACUUUGUUAAGUGAUUUUUUCCUCUACUCAAAGCCUCCCU
rnacentral:lncRNA from 10 species